GUAACGGCACGGAAGGGAAGCAGUAAGCGGAGUGCGGAAGCUAAGAGAGGGAGCGGUGGGUGUAAGCUCCCGUGAUGCGCCGCCCAAGUCGUCCCGGAGCCUUGGACUGAACACAGCAGUAGGUCCCAACGGUAUGCCCUCCGUUAUCGGGGCGGGGCGCUUGCCCCAUGAGUGCGGGAGUCAUCCCGAACAACAGGUGGUACCACGGAUCACAGUCCGUCCUGUUC
rnacentral:ncRNA from 1 species